GCGCCAAGGAAAAUAAAAAGUUUACUAAAAAGGUAUUUCAAUAUAACCUCUCUCACUCUUAAUUCUCCACAAAUUAAAUUAGAACUCCUCCAUCUCUCUAGAAUCCCGAAUAAACCCUAUCUUCUACAAUUUCCAUUAUCCCUCCCCUGCACGGCGUUUCCUCAAAUCGUUGUAGCCGAUGGUUCUCUUCUCUCCUUUUUACGGCGAUUCGGAACACUUUGACAUCAAGAUGGCAAAAUUUUCUCCGUGGCGAAGCUUCUGUAUGCGAUGAAGAAUCUGGUGCCAGCAUUGAUUUCAUCUCCCAACUUCAAACGAAAUUUAGUCUAAAUAAUAGGAGUCUAGAGAAGGAUAACUAUUGGGGAGAAUGGCUCAAUCAGAGAGGAUUUGAGGAGAAAAUGACAGAAAAACUCAACUCCGACAGGAAUCGUUGACUAGCUUGAACUUGGUGACCAUCAAACUUUUUCAGUUUUACAAGUCAGAACGUAGGUUUUGAAGACUUAAAACGAGUUGACGAGUUCGUUAUCAUUUUGCAAAAACUGCUAGGCAAUGUUUUGUAUUUUGUUGCUAUGGAAUUUUUCUCCUUUUUCUUUGAUGUUGUGUAAACAGUAUAUAGUGACUUGUAUCAUAGUCUUAUACUGACAAUAAUGAGAUGUUUAUACAUAUUAUGAAAUAAAUUAUAUGUAUAAAACAAUGAUAAUGAUGAAUAUUUUGUUGAAAUUUAAUUGAUACCUCUACUCUUAUUGAAGUGAAAUGGGAUUGAAAAACAUCAUAUGCUUAUUUAAUAGGCACAA